CCUACGUGCGGCAGCAGUGAGGAAUAUUGGUCAAUGGGCGCGAGCCUGAACCAGCCAAGUAGCGUGAAGGAUGACUGCCCUACGGGUUGUAAACUUCUUUUAUAAAGGAAUAAAGUGAUGCACGUGUGCCUUUUUGUCUGUACUUUAUGAAUAAAGAUCGGCUAACUCCGUGCCAGCAGCCGCGGUAAGGCGGAGGAUCCGAGCGUUAUCUGGAUUUAUUGGGUUUAAAGGGAGCGUAGAGGGGUUGUUAAGUCAGUUGUGAAAGUUUGCGGCUCAACCGUAAAAUUGCACUUGAUACUGGCAGCCUUGAGUACAGAUGAGGUAGGCGGAAUUCGUGGUGUAGCGGUGAAAUGCUCAGAGAUCACGAAGAACUCCGAUUGCGAAGGCAGCCUACUAAACUGCCACUGACAUUGAUGCUCGAAAGUGUGGGUAUCAAACAGGAUUAGAUACCCGUGUAGUC
rnacentral:rRNA from 1 species